UUUUGAAUGGUUCAGAUGGUAAAGAAUCUGCCUGCAAUGCAGAAGACCCGGGUUCGAUCCCUGGCUCGGAAA
rnacentral:tRNA from 1 species